UCAGUGAAUCAUCGAAUCUUUGAACGCACAUUGCGCCCGCCAGUAUUCUGGCGGGCAUGCCUGUUCGAGCGUCAUUUCAACCCUCAAGCUCAGCUUGGUGUUGGGACUCGCGGUAACCCGCGUUCCCCAAAUCGAUUGGCGGUCACGUCGAGCUUCCAU
rnacentral:rRNA from 2 species